rnacentral:rRNA from 1 species
UCAAUAAGCGGAGGAAAAGAAACUAACAAGGAUUCCCCUAGUAACUGCGAGUGAAGCGGGAAAAGCUCAAAUUUGAAAUCUGGCAGUCUAUUUUUUCUUCUUUGGCUGUCCGAGUUGUAAUCUAGAGAAGUGCUUACCUGCACUGGACCAUGUAUAAGUCUCCUGGAAUGGAGCGUCACAGAGGGUGAGAAUCCCGUCUUUGACAUGGACUGCCAGUGUGUUGUGGUGUGCUCUCAAAGAGUCGAGUUGUUUGGGAAUGCAGCUCUAAAUGGGUGGUAAACUCCAUCUAAAGCUAAAUAUUGGCGAGAGACCGAUAGCGAACAAGUACCGUGAGGGAAAGAUGAAAAGGACUUUGGAAAGAGAGUUAAACAGUAUGUGAAAUUGUUGAAAGGGAAACGCUUGAAGUCAGUUAUGUUGGCUAGGGAUCAACCUAGCUGUCUUUUGCUGGGUGAAUUUCCUAGUCUGACAGGCCAACAUCAGUCUUGACUGCUGGAAAAGAGCAGAGGGAAUGUGGCACCUUCGGGUGUGUUAUAGCCCUUUGUCAUAUGUGGCGGUUGGGACUGAGGGAUGCAGCGUGCCGCGAGGCUGGGUUUCGACCACGUUCACGCUUAGGAUGUUGGCUUUUAAUGGCUUCAAUCGACCCGUCU